rnacentral:rRNA from 1 species
GACGAACGCUGGCGGCGUGCUUAACACAUGCAAGUCGAACGGAAAGGCCCUGCUUGCAGGGUACUCGAGUGGCGAACGGGUGAGUAACACGUGGGUGAUCUGCCCUGCACUUCGGGAUAAGCCUGGGAAACUGGGUCUAAUACCGGAUAGGAGCCAUUUUUAGUGUGAUGGUUGGAAAGUUUUUUCGGUGUAGGAUGAGCUCGCGGCCUAUCAGCUUGUUGGUGGGGUAAUGGCCUACCAAGGGGGCGACGGGUAGCCGGCCUGAGAGGGUGGACGGCCACAUUGGGACUGAGAGACGGCCCAGACUCCUACGGGAGGCAGCAGUGGGGAAUAUUGCACAAUGGGCGCAAGCCUGAUGCAGCGGCGCCGCGGGGGGGAUGACGGCCUUCGGGUGGUAAACUCCUGUCGCUAGGGACGAAGCUUUUUGUGACGGUACCUAGAUAAGAAGCACCGGCUAACUACGUG